rnacentral:lncRNA from 1 species
CUCUGAGGGCUCCUUUGGCAGCCCGGGAUACCACCGGGAUCCCGGCCCAUUCCCUGGGAGAAAGGCCCGCGGGGGAAAUUGCCACGGGUAUUAUUUCUGGUCCAUUUGGAAGCCCACGAGGCAGGGAUUUCCCGGCCCAAUCCGCGGGGAAACCCCAGGGAAAGGAACCCGACCUCUCGAGGUCAGGAAAUUUUCCUCUCCCGAUCCGCCGCUCUCUCUCUCGCGCAAAAGCGGCGACCAAGAGCGGGCGCCGCCGUGCCUCCUCCUCCGGCGAGACGCGCCACCACCGGACUCUUCCUCCGGCGAGAAGGGCACAGAAGCGCGGCGGUGACGCGGCGGCGCGCCGGUAGCACGGGCUCACAGCACCGGCGGAGGACAGGGGGGAGAUCCAAGGCGACGCCACGCACCGGCGGAGGAGGCAUUGAGGCGCAGAUCCAAGGCAGCAAAGAAUUUGUUUUGGGGAUUUACAAGUGACAAGAGUAAAGAUUAAGACCAGUUGCACCGAGAUGAUUAUUUGAAAAUUCCAAGGAUUAUAUAUUUUCCACUUAACCUUUGUUUACAUGUAUGUCUAUUUGUGUGCCAACUGUUAAUGAUUGCACAUUAGUUGUUGAAAAGGCAUCACACUAAUGUUUUAGCUUGCUUUAUCUGUCAUUUCAAUGUAUGCCUAUGUAAAAUAUUCCAAUCAUCCAAGGUUCAGUUUUUUUAAUUUGUCAUAUUUUGUAUUAGCUGAAUGUUGAAAUUUUCAAAUUAUUUGUGAAUUUUCUGAAUUUUUA